rnacentral:rRNA from 1 species
UAGUUCGAUCCUGGCUCAGGAUGAACGCUGGCGGCGUGCCUAACACAUGCAAGUCGAGCGAUUUACUUCGGUAAAGAGCGGCGGACGGGUGAGUAACGCGUGGGUAACCUGCCCUGUACACACGGAUAACAUACCGAAAGGUAUGCUAAUACGAGAUAAAAUACUUUUAUCGCAUGGUAGAAGUAUCAAAGCUUUUGCGGUACAGGAUGGACCCGCGUCUGAUUAGCUAGUUGGUAAGGUAACGGCUUACCAAGGCGACGAUCAGUAGCCGACCUGAGAGGGUGAUCGGCCACAUUGGAACUGAGACACGAUCCAAACUCCUACGGGAGGCAGCAGUGGGGAAUAUUGCACAAUGGGCGAAAGCCUGAUGCAGCAACGCCGCGUGAGCGAUGAAGGCCUUCGGGUCGUAAAGCUCUGUCCUCAAGGAAGAUAAUGACGGUACUUGAGGAGGAAGCCCCGGCUAACUACGUGCCAGCAGCCGCGGUAAUACGUAGGGGGCUAGCGUUAUCCGGAAUUACUGGGCGUAAAGGGUGCGUAGGUGGUUUCUUAAGUCAGAGGUGAAAGGCUACGGCUCAACCGUAGUAAGCCUUUGAAACUGGGGAACUUGAGUGCAGGAGAGGAGAGUGGAAUUCCUAGUGUAGCGGUGAAAUGCGUAGAUAUUAGGAGGAACACCAGUUGCGAAGGCGGCUCUCUGGACUGUAACUGACACUGAGGCACGAAAGCGUGGGGAGCAAACAGGAUUAGAUACCCUGGUAGUCCACGCCGUAAACGAUGAGUACUAGCUGUCGGAGGUUACCCCCUUCGGUGGCGCAGCUAACGCAUUAAGUACUCCGCCUGGGAAGUACGCUCGCAAGAGUGAAACUCAAAGGAAUUGACGGGGACCCGCACAAGUAGCGGAGCAUGUGGUUUAAUUCGAAGCAACGCGAAGAACCUUACCUAAGCUUGACAUCCUUUUGACCGACGCCUAAUCGUAUCUUUCCCUUCGGGGACAGAAGUGACAGGUGGUGCAUGGUUGUCGUCAGCUCGUGUCGUGAGAUGUUGGGUUAAGUCCCGCAACGAGCGCAACCCUUGCCUUUAGUUGCCAGCAUUAAGUUGGGCACUCUAGAGGGACUGCCAGGGAUAACCUGGAGGAAGGUGGGGAUGACGUCAAAUCAUCAUGCCCCUUAUGCUUAGGGCUACACACGUGCUGCAAUGGGUGGUACAGAGGGCAGCCAAGUCGUGAGGCGGAGCUAAUCCCUUAUAGCCAUUCUCAGUUCGGAUUGUAGGCUGAAACUCGCCUACAUGAAGCUGGAGUUACUAGUAAUCGCAGAUCAGAAUGCUGCGGUGAAUGCGUUCCCGGGUCUUGUACACACCGCCCGUCACACCACGGAAGUUGGGGGCGCCCGAAGCCACUUAGCUAACCCUUUUGGGAAGCGAGUGUCGAAGGUGAAAUCAAUAACUGGGGUGAAGUCGUAACAAGGUAACC